CCCUCUAGUCAUGAUAUCUAUUAGAUCUAGAAUAGUUAAUCUUUUUUUAUUUUUAUCUAGGAUCUAUCUUAUGGCCUUUGUAUUUUGUUGGUUGAUUGACUCUUGGAUAGUUGUUAUCCAUGACUUUUGUAUGAUCUAUAUAUUUUGACUUAAUGUAUUCAAUCACAUUUUGAUAUAUAUAUUUUUUAUGCUUUAAAUUUCAAUGAAUGUUUUUGGAUUAAGAUUA
rnacentral:lncRNA from 1 species